rnacentral:sRNA from 1 species
AUUACAGAGUGCGAGGCUCAGUCGUGGCGUCUGCUGCGUGCUGGGCCGACCCUCCCACCCGUGUCGAUUUGUAUCUUGUUGCUUUGGCGGGCCGGGCUGCGUCGUCGCUGUCCGCAGGGACACGCGUCGGCCGCCCACCGGUUUCGACUGGAGCGCGCCCGCCAAAGACCCCAACCAAAACUCAUGUUGUCUGUGUCGUCUUAGCAUUAUAAUGAAAAUUGAUAAAACUUUCAACAACGGAUCUCUUGGCUCUGGCAUCGAUGAAGAACGCAGCGAAAUGCGAUAAGUAAUGUGAAUUGCAGAAUUUAGUGAAUCAUCGAAUCUUUGAACGCACAUUGCGCCCCUUGGUAUUCCGAGGGGCAUGCCUGUUCGAGCGUCAUAACACCCCCUCCAGCUGCCGUUGUGUGGCUGCGGUGUUGGGGCUCGUCGCGAUGCGGCGGCCCUUAAAGACAGUGGCGGUCCCGGCGUGGGCUCUACGCGUAGUAACUUGCUUCUCGCGACAGAGUGACGCCCGGUGGCUUGCCAGAACAACCCCUAUUGGGUCCAGUCACAUGGAUCACAGGUUGACCUCGAAUCAGGUAGGAAUACCC